rnacentral:rRNA from 1 species
UAGGGAAUCUUCGGCAAUGGGGGGAACCCUGACCGAGCAACGCCGCGUGAGUGAAGAAGGUUUUCGGAUCGUAAAGCUCUGUUGUAAGAGAAGAACGGGUGUGAGAGUGGAAAGUUCACACUGUGACGGUAUCUUACCAGAAAGGGACGGCUAACUACGUGCCAGCAGCCGCGGUAAUACGUAGGUCCCGAGCGUUGUCCGGAUUUAUUGGGCGUAAAGCGAGCGCAGGCGGUUAGAUAAGUCUGAAGUUAAAGGCUGUGGCUUAACCAUAGUACGCUUUGGAAACUGUUUAACUUGAGUGCAAGAGGGGAGAGUGGAAUUCCAUGUGUAGUGGUGAAAUGCGUAGAUAUAUGGAGGAACACCGGUGGCGAAAGCGGCUCUCUGGCUUGUAACUGACGCUGAGGCUCGAAAGCGUGGGGAGCAAACAGGAUUAGAUACCCUGGUAGUCCACGCCGUAAACGAUGAGUGCUAGGUGUUAGACCCUUUCCGGGGUUUAGUGCCGCAGCUAACGCAUUAAGCACUCCGCCUGGGGAGUACGACCGCAAGGUUG